rnacentral:rRNA from 1 species
AAUCAACGCUGGCGGCGUGCCUAACACAUGCAAGUCGAACGCGAAAGCCCCGCAAGGGGCAAGUAGAGUGGCAAACGGGUGAGUAACGCGUGGGUGACCUACCUUCGAGUGGGGGAUAACGUUCCGAGAGGGACGCUAAUACCGCAUGACAUUCUGCCUUUGAAGAGGUGGAAAUCAAAGCCUGGGACCGCAAGGCCAGGCGCUUGAAGAGGGGCCCGCGUCCGAUUAGCUAGUUGGUGAGGUAACGGCUCACCAAGGCUUCGAUCGGUAGCCGGCCUAAGAGGGCGGACGGCCACACUGGGACUGAGACACGGCCCAGACUCCUACGGGAGGGCAGCAGUGGGGAAUCUUGCGCAAUGGGCGAAAGCCUGACGCAGCGACGCCGCGUGAGGGAUGACGGCCUGG